GUAGUCCACGCUGUAAACGAUGUCUACUUGCUGUUGGGGGUAGCACCUUAGUAGCGAAGCAAACGCGAGAAGUAGACCGCCUGGGGAGUACGGUCGCAAGAUUAAAACUCAAAGGAAUUGACGGGGACCCGCACAAGCGGUGGAUGAUGCGGAUUAAUUCGAUGCAACGCGAAAAACCUUACCUGCUCUUGACAUGCCAAGGAUCUGCUAGAGAUAGCGGAGUGCCUUCGGGAACUUGGACACAGGUGCUGCAUGGCUGUCGUCAGCUCGUGUCGUGAGAUGUUGUCUUAAGUGACGCAACGAGCGCAACCCUUAUCACUAGUUGCCAUCAUUAGGUUGGGCACUGUAGUGAGACUGCCGGAGGAAUCCGGA
rnacentral:rRNA from 1 species